CAUGCCCCUUAUACGCUGGGCUACACACGUGCUACAAUGGGUAGAACAGAGAGUCGCAAAGCUGUGAAGUGGAGCUAAUCUCAGAAAACUAUUCUUAGUUCGGAUUGUACUCUGCAACUCGAGUACAUGAAGUUGGAAUCGCUAGUAAUCGCGAAUCAGCAAUGUCGCGGUGAAUACGUUCUCGGGUCUUGUACACACCGCCCGUCACACCACGAGAGUUGGUUGCACCUGAAGUAGCAGGCCUAACCGUAAGGAGGGAUGCUCCGAGGGUGUGAUUAGCGAUUGGGGUGAAGUCGUAACAAGGUAUCCGUACGGGAACGUGCGGAUGGAUCACCUCCUUUCUAAGGAGUAUAAGUCUUUCUCUAUUCUAUUGGUAAUGUUCUUACAUUACUUCUGAACAUUGGAAACUAUAUAGUAGAACAAACAAGAAAAAAAUUAACUCUAACAAUUUCUUAGAGUUAGCUGUCAAAAAAUAGGUUAAAAUAAUUAAGGGCACACAAAGGAUGCCUAGGUAGUAAGAGCCGAUGAAGGACGUGGUAAGCUGCGAUAAGCCUAG
rnacentral:sRNA from 1 species